rnacentral:misc_RNA from 1 species
GAGAACCAAGAGAUCCGUUGCUGAAAGUUUUAAUUUAUUGUUUUUGUUUGUGUUUAGACAAAUAUUGGUUAAGUUUUUAACUUUCGGCAGACUACCUCUCGAUGAAAAGAGGCUUGUAAAGUCCACCGAAGCAAAACGCUAGAAUUAACUAGCGAAUAUUCACAGAAAGAAGAGAUAAUCAAUUUCGGUAAUGAUCCUU